AAACCCGAAAGGUCGAAAGGGGAAAUUCAUUCGCGUUUCGAUUGUCGGCGAUGAGUGGUUGUGUGACGGAUGGCGUUCGCGUCGUCUGCGCCUUCUGUUUUUCGAACCGGCUUCGAACGCGUGCACUUUUCCCCUAGUAGGACGUCGCGAUCCGUUGGGUGUCGGUCUAAGGCCCGCGGUGGAGCCCACGUGGACGUUUCGGCGUUCGCGUGAACCCGUGGUGUCCCGGCCGACUCGCUCGACGGUAUAAUGAUGGCGCGGGGCCGCUACACUAAGUUAGCGUUCGGCCUGUGGCAAGCGCGUUCGGUGUGACGGCGAUCGGACCUAGUGCCGGUCCUGUCCCCGAGCGACUGUUGGCUGCGGUGCUCUCGAACAGACCUCGUUGAAACGCCGAUCAGCUGACGCCAUAG
rnacentral:rRNA from 1 species